rnacentral:rRNA from 1 species
UGCCAGCCGCCGCGGUAAUAUGGAGGGUGCAAGCGUUAAUCGGAAUUACUGGGCGUAAUGCGCGCGUAGGCGGUUUGGUAAGUGUGAUGUGAAAGCCCAGGGUUUAACCUUGGAACUGCAUUUCAUAUUGUUAGGUUAGAGUAUGGUAGAGGGGGGUAGAAUUCCACGUGUAGCGGUGAAAUGCGUAGAGAUGUGGAGGAAUACCAGUGGCGAAGGCGGCCCCCUGGAUCGAUACUGACGCUGAGGUGCGAAAGCGUAGGGAGCAAACAGGAUUAGAUA